rnacentral:lncRNA from 1 species
GUCAUUUGGAGGGAUUAGGGUUUAUAAUUUAGAAUGUAAUGGUAGUACUUAAAGUUUAAUAACAAUAUAUUUGAGAUUUAAUAAUUAAUGGUUAUAGUAUAAUUACGGAGAGAAAAUAUAACGAUAUGCGCAUUAUAAUAUUACAUACAGAAAUAAAUAUAAUAUUUUUUAUUGUAUCUUUUGGACAUGCGUAACACUACCCUAUAAGGGUUUGUUUGUUUUACUAAAGUAGAGAAGGGCAAAGUAACUGUAAAUAUUCAUUUUUAUUGUUUGGUUCAUUGUAACUUCUCUUUUGGUCGAAACUCCAACUCCAUGAAAUAUCGUAAUUAACUUAGCCAUUUUGAAUUGAAAUCAACGACGGAGAGAAAGUGUAAGAGAAAAAAUAAUAAAAUAUUUAGGAUUGAAAAAUAUAGCUUCCACGUCAUUCAAUUCUUAGUAAACAAAUAAUUAGGGCUCGUUUGUUUCAUCGAAACUGAUUUAGGGUUGUAAUGGACUUUGGGUUGAAACGAAGUUCAGUAAAAACUAUUUCUUUUCUACUGUUUGUUUCAUAGGUAUGAAAGUAGAGUUCCUUCAGUUUUACAUAUUAUAUAACUAUAAAUUAUACAUAAAUAAUAAAUAACUUAAUAAAUAAUAAAUUAUAAUAUAAUAAAUAGAAAUAAUAUAAUUAUAUUCCUAUAUAAUUAAAGAUUUUAAUCUAAAACAACUAAAUUACUUUUUUCUACAUAAAUUAUAAUAAUACAACAAAAAAAUUAUAAAGUAAAAAAAACUAUAAAUACUUAACUAAUCAAUUUUCAUUAUAUUUUAGAUGUAGAAACUAAAUGAAGAAAAUAAUAAAACUUAACUAAUCAAACUUUAUCAUAUUUUAAAUAUGCAAACUAAAUAAAAGUAUAAUUAGUACCAUAAUUAGAGAUAUUUAAACAUAACCAACAUUACUCAUUAUAUUAUUUUAUUAUUUUUUUCACCUCUCUUCACCGUAAUUGACUUCGUCUCGAAGUGGACUGAAGUCAAUUAUACUAUUUUAGAUAAUUCGAGUUUCGACCAUAUCUUUAUUAUAGUAAAACAAAUAGUGGAAGUGAUCGUUUAUGACCGAAAACGAUUUCACCCCUCUUCAAUUUUACCC